CGUGCUCCAAGCCCUCCGGGCUCUGACCCAGGUCCCUGUGGAGGGCGGGAUGGUCUGCGAUGCCCUGCUUGGCUCUCCUCCAGGCCCUGGAGCCUUUGCUCUGAGGCCAGCUUCUCAGCAAGGCCUCCUUGCUGCCUGUCCCCGCUCUGCACAGACCAAUGGCCUCUGCCCUACGGGCUUCCUGGUCCCCACACCCAGUCGGCCCGCGCGGCAGUCCGCCGUGCUCCCGCUCAGCGCCCAGAGCGAGCUCAGCUCUUGCUGAAAGAGAGGACUCGGGACACUCUGCGUGAGGCGCCGUUUCACACGCACAGAGGCCUAUUCUGAAGCCGCCGUGGGCAGCCCGGCCCGCGGCUCCUGGCAGUAAACCGUGCCCAGCGUCUUGCUGGCCUCGGCCAAGGGAGGGCGAGCGCCAGCACAAGGACAGCCAGGGCGAGGUCCCCACAGGCGAACCAGCCGGUCCUUCCCCCGCAGCCGCAGCUCGCCUUCGCCGCCGGGCUUCCGUCUCCCAGGCCACAACGCGGGGCACGGGCCCUACACCGCUGCCACACCUUACUGACGCGGCACCCGUUUUUCUGCAUCUGCGAGACUGUCCCCUCUAGGCCGUCGCUUUCAGAACCAGCAGGCAGCUGCCAAACAGGGGCUGUUUCUGAUGGUUCGUAUUUUGUUUUGUUUUGCUGUAAUUGUCUUUUUUUUUUUUUCUUUUUGGGUCUCACUUGAUACAGUGAAGUGUACAUUUCAAAGUGUUUUGACAAAUGUCUCCACUGAGUGUCCGCUGCCCCUUAAAGAUCCAGGGCUGAGGUUUUCAGACGCUCACAUGCCGGGAAAGCGUCCUCGCUGCCCCACGGCUCCUGGCUCGGUGGGUCUGGGCGGGGAGAGAACGCACGUGUCGAGAGUUCCUGGGACCUGUUGCUACUCACCUGCCCACACUCCUAAGCAUCUGGGGCGAGUAUUUCUAUCGCACCAGAAAGCUCCCCUUUGGCCCUUCUGGUCAGCUCCAGCCUCCCCCAGAGGCAGCCCGCCUGUCCGUGAACUUCACACGCCGGAAUCCUUGGCAUGCGUCCUUCGGUGUCUGGCUCCUUUCAGGCAGCACAGUGCUCCUGAGGGUCGUGCAGGGCACUGCCGGGCUCACUAGCCCUUCCUGUCGUCACAGGGUGGCAUUUCCCUGCAUGGGGCCACCAGCCUGUCCCCUUCUCCUGCUGAUGGAUGUUGGGUUGUUUCCAGUUUGGGGCUGGAAUAAAACUUCUAUGAUUAUCUGCGUGCAGCCUG